GUGCUCGCUUCGGCAGCACAUAUACUAAAAUUGCAACAAUACAGAGAAGAUUAGCAUGGCCCCUGCACAAGGAUGACACACAAAUUCAUGGAGUGUUUCAUAUUUUU
rnacentral:snRNA from 1 species